rnacentral:lncRNA from 1 species
CUUCGGAGCUUGGGCUUGGCUGGGCCAGAAGGUGGCUGAGAGAGCGCAAGAGAAAGAAAGAGAGGCGAGCGAAAUUCCUGAAUGGGUAGACAGCUGCUACGUCAUCGGAGCUGCAUCCUCCACUCCACAAGAGGCUAGGAGCUGGGGAGGGAGAGGCAGUCUAGCUGCAGGGGCCACGGCCGCAGCCUCUCCUCCUCUCGGAAGCCGGGAGGGCCCGGGGAAUACAGGAAGAAGGUGCUGUUCCUGCCCCAAGCCCCUCACCCACACCACUGCCUUCUAGAAGACAUCAUGGGGUACUGGAGGCUGGAGCUGAGCAGACUAUUUCUAGGAUCUCAG